UACGGGGGGGGCAAGCGUUGUUCGGAAUUACUGGGCGUAAAGGGCUCGUAGGCGGCCAACUAAGUCGGAUGUGAAAUCCCCAGGCUUAACCUGGGAACUGCAUCCGAUACUGGAUGGCUUGAAUCCGGGAGAGGGAUGCGGAAUUCCAGGUGUAGCGGUGAAAUGCGUAGAUAUCUGGAGGAAUACCGGUGGCGAAGGCGGCAUCCUGGACCGACAUUGACGCUGAUGAGCGAAAGCUAGGGGAGCAAACGGG
rnacentral:rRNA from 1 species